GGGACCUGCAGAUCGUCGCUGGAGGCACAUUUAAGGUUAAAGCGUUCAAGAAUGGUUUGACCACUUAACAUAAGAGUGCAUUUAGAUGAAGUUGUCAUGGUGACCAGAGUGUCCCUUUAAAUGUGAAAUUCACUUUGAAUUCAUCUAGAAUUCUCACUUUAAUGAAUAACCCUCUAUACGUUGAAUGUUGGGUUGUUGGAUACUAUCUUGGGCAUGGUAAUAUAGUCUUUGGAUCUGUGUGCUGAGAGCUGAAUCACUUGGGCCUCAGAGCCAAAAGUAUAUUUCAUACUAAAAUAUGAAAAUGUUAUAGAUGGGGGAAAAAAUAGCAAAAACAAAUUACUGCACCAUAGCCAACAUAGAAAAACAAACAAACAAACAAGGAGAUCACAGGAGCCUCCAUAGGUUACGCCUUGCGAUGAGUGAGAUGAUGCCUCAAUCCCAGUGAUGGCUGCUAGGACUGGACAAAUGUUGACAGUGGAGCUCCAGGCUUGUCCAUAAACUAAAGUAGUCCUUACCUUGUCUUAUGAAAUCUUUGGAUUGUUUUGGAAUUUCAAUGAAAUUCCAAUGCAGUCAGCAUUACUAUUUCAUAAAGAUUAAGAACUGACAGAGCUGCUUUAACAUGCAUUUACAGGAAACCUAGGUUUAUGUGUCCCAGCUACUAAUAUAAAAAAAAAAAUGACUAAAUUCAAGUCUUAUUCAAUUCUCCUGCCUGGCAAGUAGAAUGAGGGACACAUUGAGAACAUCACAAACAUCUGAAGUCAUAUAAAUACUUUGUAUCAUCCAAGACAAAUAUAUGUUGUGUCAUAACCCUAUAAAUCACAUUAUUUAUAUAUAUAUAUAGAGAGAGAGAGAGAGAGAGAGAGAGAGAGAGAGAGAGAGAGAGAGAGAGAGAGAGAGAGAGAGAGAGAGAGAGAGAGAGAGUAAAGGUCUGGACCCUGUGUAUCUUUAGGAAUUUUCUUCUUUUUUUUUCUUUUCUUUUGUUUUUUUUUGUAUGUUUAUUUCUCUAUUACCUGCUACCCCAAAUAUAGUCUCUCUCACCAUCAAUUACUGCUUAAUAUGGGCAUCAUACAACUAUCAAGUUUGAUUAAAAAAAAAUAGCCUCUUAUCACCAUAACCACUACAAUAUGUUGACUGGUGGACACCCUAAGUACCAUAACCAUUACAGCCUUUUGUAGUGAUUAUGGGGCUACGAGGCUGCAGACGCCAUCCCCCAAUGUGUUUUCAACUAGUUUGGCACAAACCGAGGAUUCAGGCAGCUGUGGCCUGGUCUGUAUUACUAAGAAGGAAGUUACACUUUUACAUCAGCAAAGUCAAUUUCAUCCACAUUUGAAUGGCAUUGAUUGACUGUGAGUGCCAGAUGAUGCCACCAGAGCAUUCUUAGUGGCAAAUCACUUUCCAACAGAAUUCCUGAUUGCAAUCUUUCAUUCUUCAUUGAGAUAGUGACUCGAAACAUCAAUGCAAGGACUUUAAAAUGGUCUUAUACACUUCCACCAUAUGAUAAAUGGUGUUGAUGUAUGGAUCUUGACAUGACUUAUCAUUAUAUUGAUACAAAAAUAUGACAGCACCCCAUUGUAUGUUAAAGUAUGGGAAAUUUAUGGAGGUCCUACAGUACAAACAGUUUCAGUUUAUAACAAAGUGUAUUUGUAAAGAUUUGUCAAACUUAAAGGGACACGCUGGGCACCAGUGCAACUUCAAUGCAACUGAUAGAUUUAAGCCUCGUUAAUAUGCUGUAUUUUCUUGUAUGCUCAAAUCUUUAUAGUUUUUGCACAAAAAUAAAUACAUUUUGUAGAAUUCUGCACCAUAAGCCUGCCUCCUUAGCCACGCCCCUCAUCCCAGAAAGACUUCCUUAUCAAAUGCAUGCACAGAGUCUCAACCCCAAAAGCACAGAGUGAGCUGCUUUUAAUUCCCAACCAGGCUGCAGACAGUCAGAUAAACUACAAACAGGUAGUGAUAUCCUUACUCCCAUUUGUCCUCUCAUUGUAAUAUAGGUUGCUUUGUAGUUCAGCUCAUUAAGUACUCUCAACAUUUAUUUAAUUUAUUCCAAAACUAUAAAGAUUUGAGUAUGCAAAAAAUAGCAUAUUUGUGAGACCAAAAUCUAUCAAAUGCAUUAGCACUUUUGCCCGAAGUGUCCCUUUAACAUGUCAUAGUGCAACAAGUGGUAUAUAAGAACAAAAGACAGACGUGAUUAAUUAAGGAGUAACCCAUAUAAAUCUACUACAAGCACUUUGUUGCUUAGCAACUAUACACAGUAUGUAUAAAUAGUUAUGACAAGUAUCCAAUUAAUUAUUUCCUUAUACCGUUCAACUGUAAAGUGCUUAAAUGUUAUUAUUUACCAGCAACUUAUUUUUUAGCAAAGAAUUUUAUUAUAAACGAAGCGCUAAGUAAAGUGCAUCACUAAAUAUACCUAAAUAUUACACAAUUUGAACUAUUCUUUGUAGAAUUGUAAAAUAAAAGGAUAUCUAAGAUGAACAUUUACCUGAAAUAAGGAUACAGUUACAAUAAAGCAAUUAUCCAUACAAAUGAUAACACAGUAUUUAAAGAUAAUCACACAAUACUAUUGAGAAGUUUUUAAAGGUUUACUCCAUGCACCAUGACUACUUAAGUGAUUUGAAGUGGUCAUGGUAAUUGGAUUAUGUUGAGGCAGAGCCUGCUCUGAUUGCACAAACAACUGAUGCAAGACUCUAUACAACUCCCCUCAAAAGAGCCACCUCACACUCUUGCCUCCACCCCUCUAUGGCCAUCUACCAUUCAGACAGCAGAGCAUCCUUGGGCACCCGUUUAUGUUAACCAAGAUGGCCCUGAUUACACCAGCAAGCAUACAUGCCAACUGUCUGGAGCUCUCACUCGGCCAAAGGUCUGUCAGCUACCUUGUACAAGUUCCACUGCACACUGUUCCUAGACAAGUUCACUCAGGAAGACCAAGAUAAAGUAGUGGGAGACUCCUUCCACAAGCUUGAGAGACCCCUCUUUUGUGACCAGCACUUAUUCCCGCUGGAAGUAUACUCCAUGUGACAGACUGCCCGAACACAUCUGGAUUCAUUAACUCUUGUACCCCUCCUGAUUGUGCCUCCCAGCUCACUGCUCAACACACCAUCCUGUAAUUCCAGGCAUGUCAGCGCCCCUGAGUGAAAUUGCAGAGGUACUGCGCACCUGACCGUUAGCAACCUAGAAAUCGACUUGAAUUUCAAAUUUGAUCACAUAGUUGUCGUGAUCUGGUAAAAAGUUCUCAGAGGGCACUCUCGGUCCCAGGACCACCAAAUAGAAAGCUAUUUGGAGGGGAGGUGAUGAGGUAAUGAGGGGGAGGUGAUGAAGCAUCAAACAGUACCAAGGACUUGAGGAAGCUUGAUGUACAAACAGAAAGCACCAUCAUUUAAAGUGACCGGGACUUUUUACCCAGCGAUCUGGAACACUGUGCCAGAUUGGUCGAUGCUCGCUGCCAAAACUUACCAUCCAGACCAUUCAUGCUAGAUACCUCCGAUCCAAGCGAUUUUUUUGGGGAGGAGGGAAACAGAAUGGGUGCUCCAGGGAGAGCUACCAGGUGAGGGAACAAGUUUUGGGAUGCAGGCAAGACAACCCAGUUUUUUUAAUAUAUAUACAUAAAUAUUGGGACAUCGACACAAUUCUAAUCUUUUUGGCUCUAUACACCAACACAAUGGGUUUGAAAUGAAACAAACAGGAUGUGCUUUAACUGCAGACGUUCAGCUUUAAUUUGAGGGUAUUUACAUCCAAAUCAGGUGAACGGUGUAGGAAUUACAACAGUUUGUAUAUGUGCCUCCCACUUUUUAAGGGACCAAAAGUAAUGGGACAGAUUAACAGUCAUAAAUCAAACUUUCACUUUUUAAUACUUGGUUGCAAAUCCUUUGCAGUCAAUUACAACCUGAAGUCUGGAACGCAUAGACAUCACCAGACUCUGGGUUUCAUCCCUGGUGGUGCUCUGCCAGGCCUCUACUGCAACUGUCUUCAGUUCCUGCUUGUUCUUGGUGCAUUUUCCCUUCAGUUUUGUCUUCAUCAAGUGAAAUGCAUGCUCAAUCGGAUUCAGGUCAGGUGAUUGACUUGGCCAUUGCAUAACAUUCCACUUCUUUCCCUUAAAAAACUUGUUGGUUGCUUUUGCAGUAUGCUUCGGGUCAUUGUCCAUCUGCACUGUGAAGCGCCGUCCAAGCAUUUGGCUGAAUAUGAGCAGAUAAUAUUGCCCGAAACACUUCAGAAUUCAUCCUGCUGCUUUUGUCAGCAGUCACAUCAUCAAUAAAUACAAUAGAACCAGUUCCAUUGGCAGCCAUACAUGCCCACGCCAUGAAACUACCACCACCACGCUUCACUGAUGAGGUGGUAUGCUUUGGAUCAUGAGCAGUUCCAUUCCUUCUCCAUACUCUUCUCUUCCCAUCACCCUGGUACAAGUUGAUCUUGGUCUCAUCUAUCCAUUGGAUGUUGUUCCAGAACUGUGAAGGCUUUUUUUAGAUGUUGUUUGGCAAACUCUAAUCUGGCCUUCCUGUUUUUGAGGCUCACCAAUGGUUUACAUCUUGUGGUGAACCCUCUGUAUUCACUCUGGUGAAGUCUUCUCUUGAUUGUUGACUUUGACAUACAUACACCAACCUCCUGGAGAGUGUUCUUGAACUGGCCAACUGUUGUGAAGGGUGUUUUCUUCACCAGGGAAAGAAUUCUUCGGUCAUCCACCACAGUUGUUUUCCGUGGUCUUCUGGGUCUUUUGGUGUUGCUGAGCUCAUUGGUGCGUUCUUUCUUUUUAAGGAUGUUCCAAACAGUUGAUUUGGCCACACCUAAUGUUUUUGCUAUCUCUCUGAUGGGUUUGUUUUGUUUUUUCAGCCUAAUGAUGGCUUGCUUCACUGAUAGUGACAGCUCUUUGGAUCUUUGGAUGUCAUACUGAGAGUUGACAGCAACAGAUUCCAAAUGCAAAUAGCACACUUGAAAUGAACUCUGGACCUUUUAUCUGCUCCUUGUAAAUGGGAUAAUGAGGGAAUAACACACACUUGGCCAUGGAACAGCUGAGCAGCCAAUUGUCCCAUUACUUUUGGUCCCUUGAAAAGUGGGAGGCACAUAUACAAACUGUUGUAAUUCCUACAUUCACCUGAUUUGGAUGUAAAUACCCUCAAAUUAAAGCUGAAAGCCUCCAGUUAAAGCACAUCUUGUUCAUUUCAUUUCAAAUCCAUUGUGUUGGUGUAUAGAGCCAAAAAGAUUAGAAUUGUGUCGAUGUCCCAAUAUUUAUGGACCUGACUAUAUAUAUAUAUAUAUAUAUAUAUAUAAAUGUUAUUCUGCGCCUAGGUGUCUGGUCGUUAAUAGAAUAACCUGGUCAGGUACAAACAUCUAGGUGCCAGAUGUUGUGUAAUACCCAUUGUUUACCUGGUGACCUCCUGUUGGGGUCCCAAGUAUAAUAGAGUGUCUUCCAAUAAAACAGUUCUUAUUCACCCUUCACUAAGUCUCGGCUAGUGUUUGGGUGAGCCUGCUAUAUAAGUAGGCCAUCCAAGUUCUGUUUGGCAAGUUUUCUCAUGGGAGUUAGCCCUACUCAGGGAUGUAAAACUUGUCAAUGUUACUUGUGGGAAUAAUAUUGUAAGGCACCCGAGUGUCUGGGAGUUAAUUCAAUUAUCUUGUCUUUGAUUGAGUUAUGUCCAGGACACAGGGUUGGGAUUGCAUUGUUCCUGUUGAGUACCCCCUAUUGAGAACAUUGGGAUAAAUAUGUGUGAUUUGUGACAAUAAACAUUGUUGUGUUACCCCUUCACUAAGUCUUGACUCAUGUUUGGGGGUGGGCUAUAGUUACUUUGUCGAUUCCUUCCCAGUGUUAGGGAGACAUUGGCGGAGAUACUCAGUCAGCAUACAGGAGCUACAUCACAUCUGUAUUUGCAUCAUUUCACAAACCACUGCACAUACAGAGAAAAUGCACUUUAUUGCCAGAGGUGUAACUCAACCUUUGGCAUGACCAUUAUACCAUUAUUAGAAAGCCACAAACUCUGAAGAAUGAAUAGUGAAUUUGAUCUAUCUCAAAUUUUAUAAUUUUUUUUUCUUCUGAAAUUAUUUUAAAUGCAUGGAAAUCAGUGUUCCUCUACUUCUAUGGCUACAUUGUUCGAUAAUAGAUAAUCGCAUACGCAUUUAUAGGAAAUCUAACAUAGAUUGUUAUAUGGUUUACUUCUAUUGCUGAUUUGAAUUUUUUUUUUUUACUUAUUUAUUUAUUUGUAUAUUUAUUUUAAGAAAAAUGUUAUUUAUUUUUUUUCUUCACAAUUUUUUUACUUUUGUAAUAGUGUAUAAUAUUUUUGUAACCACAAUUAUGUAUUUUACUUGGAAUUUAGUUUAUCACAAAAUUCUUUGCUAAAAAUAUUGCUGGUAAAAUAUAAGCCGUUGACAAAUGAAAAGUAUAAUUAUAUAAUUAAUUGAGUUCUUAAUAAUUAAAUUUGUUGAUAUGGUCUAUUGUAGUUGCUUAUGCACUCUUAAUUAAUCACAUUCAGGGUUGAACUGGCCUAUCAGGAUGAAGGGACAUUUCCUGAUGGGCUGGUGUAUAUUAGGGCUGAAGGCAUAUUCUGCAGCGGAAAAAAAAAAAGUAAAAUUGUGCACAUGGUGGACAUGCAUGUUGGGUGGGGGGUGGCAGGUUUAGUGGACUGAAAAGGGUCUGUGGCAGCCAUGAACUCUUCAUCCUUUUUUACAGAUCUGAAGACCGCUGGGGUAUGACGCCAUGUAUCCCAGCACACUGUGCAGUAGAAGAAAAACAUGUUUAAACAUGAAGGACCAGUAUUGUUUUUUUUACCCUAUUACAAAUUUUUAUGUAGUGCCAACAUAUUCUGCAGAGCCGUACAAUUGGGCUUACACUAUAAAAGGGUAAGGGCCAAUUACACAUAGUGAGGUGAGGAAGUCAAAUGAUCUGGCUAUGCCUAAAAGCAUGGCAUAGAUGUUUGGGAGGAGGAAUCACAGUACAUGGGAGACCGCAGAGGAUGGUUUUAGGAGUUGAGCAGUUAUGUGGCUGAGCAGAUAGGCUUUUCUAAAAAGUUAUGAAUGUGUUUUUUAUGAUUUGUAAGAAUUGCAGAGAUGGGUAGUGUCAAAUGUGGCAUGGGAAGGAAUUCCCUAAGCAGGGCAGCCAGUGACAAAUCUUGCAGGUGAGUGUCCGGGGGUCAGGGAGGAAGAACAAAAUAGUAACAAGUGGUGGAUUAAUCAUUUAUCUGCUCCUCCUAUUUUUUAUCUUUUAUAUUUAUAUAUAAUACUACCUAGGGUAGAAAUGUUACACUAUUUGAUUGGAGUGAAUAAUGCCUUAGUAAACUUUUUAUAUUUACAAGUCUCCCUCUUUACACUGUGUGAAAGAUCACACCUGGUCACUAGGACUGGUACAUGUCUCCCAACCACCACCUGCAUCCAAAAAGCAUUAUAAUCACAGUUACCAUAGGCGUGCGCAUGGGGUGUGCCUAGGCACACCCUAAUCCCUGCGGCAAUCACUAUGUGCCUCCCUCCAUGGGCAGGUGAGGGAGAUCAAAGAUCAAAGAUCUCCCUCACUGACCCACAGGCAGGGAGGGAGGCAGGAGAGGACCCGGGGAGUUCUUGUCAGCAGCUCCGCCGAGUUCUUCUCACGCGGUCGGAGCGUUGCCGUGGUAAGAUCUUGCGAGAGUGAACUCUAGCCCCACAGGAGGCUAGAGUUCACUCUCCACUGGACCACCAGGGAAGGCAGCAGCAUAGUCCCCCCGCCCUACAUAAGGUAAUAAGGGAGGGGGGAUAUUAACUAAACUGCCCCCACACAUUACACACAAACAUCACCCUUACACACACAGCACACACACACGCACACUAACAGCACCCUCACACUAACACCCUUACACACACAGCACCCUCACACUAACAACACCCUUACACACACACACUAACAGCACCCUCACACUAACACCCUUACACACACACACACACUAACAGCACCCUCACACUAACAACACCCUCACAGACACAGCACACACAUACACACACACAGACACUAACAGCACCCUUACACACACAGCACCCUUACACAUACACUAACAGCACCCUUACACACACACUAACAGCACCCUUACACACACAGCACCCUUAUACAUACACACACUAACAGCACCCUUACACACAUCACCCUCACACACACACAGCACACACUAACAGCACCCUUACACACACACACAAAGCACACACUAACAGCACCUUCACACACACACUAACAACACCUUUACACAUACACACACAGCACACACUAACAGCACCCUUACACACAGCACCUUCACACACACACAGCACCUUCACACACACACAGCACCUUCACACACAGCUCCUUCAUACACACAGUGCGCCCACACACACAGCCCGCACACACACAGCGCCCGCACACACACACAGUGCCUUCACACACAGCACCUACACACACACACACAGCACCUACACACAGCACCCUCACACACAGCAGUGUGUGUGUGUAUGUAUGUGUGUAUAUAUAUAUAUAUAUAUGUAUAUAUAUAUAUAUAUAUAUAUAUAUAUAUAUACGCGGCAUGUGUGUUUCUGCUUUAGGGUGCACACCCUUAUACAAUAGGCUCCGCACGCCUAUGGUUACCCCUCUAGCCCAUGCCUCACAGCCCUUUUUCGCAGCCAAGAAGUCACCACAAGCCAGCCGGGAAACCACAAAGGAACAUCAUGCUUGAUCGGGAGCAACCCAUAAACUCUCUGGAACUCUUGAUCGGGUUGCAGAGUUGCCACGGUCCGGUAAAACUUUGUCUCAAGAGCACCUUUAGUACAGAGGCACCUUUCUCACAGCGCUAUUUGGAGGGGUGACAGAGGAGGUGAUGAGGCAUCAAUUGACAGCAUAGACUUAAGGGAACUCCAUGCACUGACAGAAAGUGCCAUCAUAUUAGGUGCCUGGGAUUUCUACCCAGUGCUUUGGAACUCUGCGCCGUAUCUGAGGAUUGUCGUGGCCCAGUGAAAACUUCACCUCCAGCUAACUCAGCUAUGCACCUACGAUUGAUCGCUUUUUGGACAGAGUGGGUGCUCAGAAGAGAGUUUUACGGGGAUGGCAUUAGUUUGGGGAUACAGGCAUUUAAAUUAUUACUGUUACUUUAACUAUAUCCUCCCAUCCAGUGAGUCCUUCUGUCACGUCACUAAGAUUAUGUCCAUGUAUUAAUUUAUUUUAGUUAUAGCUCUGUUGCCAUAGUUCCUGGAACUUGGCAGUGGAUUGACUGCCCCUGCAGCUAGAUUGUGUGUACUGGACGUGUUUAGCUUAUUGCUUCAUCCAUUUUUGGCAACGAUGGUAAUGAGGUCAGUCUCUUGCAGCCAUUUGGGAUUAUAAUGUAACUGUCACCAGAAAUGGUGGAGAACUGGGAAGGGAAUUGCAAGAUCUGGUCUAAAAUAGUCCAAAUGGAAAUUCUGUAUUAAUGUAACACAAUUACUAUCUGAGUUAAUAUUGCUUGGCCCAGUGUUUGACAAAUUCUGGUAUGUUGAUUGUAUUUGUAUAAAAAAGAAACACUUCUAUCUGAUUUUUCUCUGGCAGUGUGAGUUAAUUUUGAGGUAACAAAGUUAAACGUCUGAUUUCUGAUCUAGUCAAUGGAACUUUCGUCCCCCCUCGACAGCCCUUGCGAGAUUUUAGAAGGAUUCUAAAUAAUUAAAGUAUGGUAUGGUUCAAUAGUUAGGAGGAGGAUGGAGAGAGUAUAACAAGUAUAUUGUGUAUCAAUGGGACAUAAUUCAUGUUUGCAGGCCUUCACUGAAUCACCAUUGCUGCGGUAUUGGAAGUAGUUUUUGGUUACCCAGGGUUUAAAGGGAUAUUCUAAGCACUAUAACCACUACAGCUCAUUACAGAGGUAAUUAUGCUAUACCUCUAUGAGUACCAUCUUCUUGUUUUGUUUUAUAGUCAAUCCGCUCUUAUUGUACGCAGUACUGGAGACCGUAUCUCCAGAAGGAUAUUGAUACUUUAGAGAGAGUUCAGAGAAGGGCUACUAAACUGGUUCAUGGAUUGCAGGAUAAAACUUACAAGGAACAGUUAAAGGAUCUUAAUAAGUAUAGCUUGGGAAUAGACAAGACAGGGGAAAUUCACAUCCCAUUGGGAGGUAUCAGGACGUGGUGGGCAGGCCGGAGAGGUAAUGAUGCAUUUGCAGUGUGCUGCCUGAGGACCGUUCCCUGAUGUGUCGCUAGAUGCGGAACACCUGGGAACUAAAACAGAGUGGAGAGACAGGACCGAAAUCUUGACUGUUGGAGGAUGUGGGCUAGCACAAUAUGCUCAGUAUUUCAUUGACAUCCAAGGUUGACAUGUACUUGUUGGAAAAUAUUUCCGCAUUAUCAAUGUGGCUGAUGAGGAAGUGAGCUAUGAGUACUGAAGAGACGCUAGUUUUUUGUCAAACAGCUCCAAAAUGAUUUAACAAAAAUGGGUUUAGAACCCCAUAGAGUUUUACCAGCAUAAACACUUUUAGUAUCAGUAGUUAGCAGGUCUUUACAAAGGAAAUUGUGAGAUCUGAUUUGUGAGAUCUGAUAAGAGACUGUAGGCACAACUAAUUGUUUUACUGAUUUUCAAAGGAUGUAAAGCAAGAUCUAUAUUGGCCACAAUCAGUCUGUACGCAGACUGCCCAUCUAAUCUUCUGUUUUAGUCUGCACAUAAAUCUGUUCCUCCAAUCUACUUUAUUAGUCUGUACCUACAUGUUUUCCUAUAUUCUGCUUCAGCAGUCUGAACGUCUGAACCCACAUUUAUUCAGAGUACCUACACAACUGGGUUCUUCUUGUCUUCUUGUUCUUCCUCUAGUCUCUACAAAGGUCCUUCCCCUAAUCUGCUUAAUAUAUCUGUGCACAGUCCUUUUGUCUUCUUCUACCAGUCUCUUCCCACAAGUCUUUCUCUAAUAUUCCCUGUCCAUCUGUACCCAGGCCUCCAUACAGAAUAGGUCCUUCCAUCAAUCUACCUCUACCUACUCUAUCCGUCUGCACUCAGAAUGAAGUGUGUACAACAUGAAUUACUUCUUCUGGUUUGGCUCUGCAGUUUCUGUAAUUUGCUCAACUGUCCAUUCACAAAUCUGAGUGUCUUUCUAAUUCACUGUACCAAUCCUAUGAAGAGUUCUUCUUCUUCUCAGCUGUUUUACUUAGAUGUUUUCCAAUCUUCUAAGUAUUUGCCUUGUUAGCGGCCCCUUUGCUAUGAGUCAGCCCUAACAAAUUGUCUGCAUGCGGUGUCCAUGUCACGCAGGGUGAGUGUAACUCACACUGAGCCGGGCCAGUCUGUAUCAUGCCACCCAAGUGACAUACUACAAUUGAAGCAUUAACUCUAAGAGGACUAAGUAAAGCAUGGUUUGACUCUCUGACAUUUAAACACUAAGAAGCCAGCCCCAAGGGUGAGCAUCAUAAUUUCAGUGAAACUUUGAACAAUGAAAUCACCCUACAUGCUGCUUGGCUUAAAAAAAACAACAAACGAACGAACGAACGAACGAGAGAAAGCGUGUGUGCGUGCCUGCAUGUGUAUGUAUGUGUAGAGACAGGGAGAAUGCGUUUAACAGGAAAUAUGCAAAACUUAAUUUGAAAUGACGUGAUUGUUAACAAAAUUUAACAGGCAGUGUUUAAAAAAAAACACAUUUCCCACACAGUCUAAAUAGCUUUGGUGUGCGUGAAAGACACAUCUUGACACUGCUGUUCAAUUUAAUCACUGUUAACAUGCAGGAACAAAUGCACAUUGAAUAUGACUUGUGGAUACAGCACUAACAAGGCACAUAUUACAGGACAGGCUGUGGCGAAUUUCAUGUUAAGAUGUUAAGAGCCAUAAUGAGAAGACAUAUGUAUCUCCAUAUACUUAUGUAAAGCUAAAAUGCAAACCUGCAAACCAGUAUAAUCUAAUUGAUAUAUUGGAUAAACUUGUCUGGUAAUAGAAGGGUUAGUAGGCAAAAGUGUAUGUAUAAUUGCUUAGCAGUAUAAGUAUUCUGUAGCAAAACUCACUUUGUAACUAAGGUUUUCAAGAGCAGCAGGUGUGUGAGGAGUUGUCCUACUCCCAAUGCGGGGAGUUACCUGUGACGGAGCCCAGGGUGAGUACCUCCGUCUAUAGUCUUUUUCUUUCAGGAGAAUGUCUUGGCUUCAGUGAUAAUAGCUUCCCACAGACACUAGCUGACACAUAGUGCUAGGGACAAGAAUUGGCUUUAUUUUCACAAACCGCAGUUAAAGGAUCACUAUAGUGUCAGGAAAACAAACUUGUUUUCCUGACACUAUAUAAUCCUUGGGAGACCCCCACCCUUAGAGUCCCCCUCCAGCUGGGCUGAAGGGGUUAAAACCCCUUCAGCCACUUACCUUAAUCCAGCGCCGGGCUCCCUCGGCGCUGGUGACCUCUCCUCCCCCGGCGACGUCAGCUCCCAAGUGCCGCGCACGCAUUCAAACAGUCCAUAGGAAGGCAUUUCUCAAUGCUUUCCUAUGGACAUUCUGCACGCUGAUUGCAAAUUUUGCAUCCAGCGUCGCAGAAGCGCCUCUAGCGGCUGUCAGGAAGACAGCUACUAGAGGCUGUAUUAACCCUGCAAUGUAAACAUAGCAGUUUCUCUGUUUACAUGUGAAGGGUUAAAACCUGAGCUGAAGUGUUCUGGGUGCCUAUAGUGUCCCUUUAAUAUAGGCACAAUAUCAUCAGGAGGUCAUACAGACCACUUCAGUGGUUUGAGAUGGUCAAGGUGCCUGGAGUCUACUUGUAUGUGCAGAGUUUCACUAUGAAACAGAAGAACAAUGGGUUACUAUCUUGGAGACUCUGAGUCUGGGAGAUAAAGUAAUUUGUGAAUUUUAUUAAGUCUUCAGUCUCCAGGGCGGCCAAAUGAUAAAAGUGUAAAAUACUAACUUAAACAUACGCUAGACAUAUAAAUCCCUGGAUAGGUCUUGUUGCCCCAAGCAAAGUGUCCAAAAAGGAUCUGCUUGGAUCGGAUCUGUCCAGCCCGAGAAACUGUCGACUGAAGUUUGAUCCCAUCCCAAUCUGGCGCUGUGUUCCAGGCUGUUCGUGGCUAAGUGCCAGUCACUUAAAUAGUCAGUUUUCUUACUGGAAAAGGAGGGCUCCACUUGACUCUUAGGUAAUGAUUGUUGCUUGGACCCUCUUCUAGAUCUUAAUAAGGAACAGCCAUUAGUUCCUAUAAGCAGCUGCACUGGACCAGGUCGACUUAGAGUUCCAUACAAUUUUUGCCUUGUCCCACUGGAGUUAUUGCAGCUGUCCUGGGCUUCUGGAACUGUUUUGUGGCCGGUAGAGGUAGCGCUCAGCAUCUAAAAUACACAGUAAAAUACAGAAUUAAUAACCAUAAACGCGUUUCACCAUAAGUGUGAUCCCAUUCUGAAGAAGCCACUUAAGGUGAAACACGUUUAUGGUUAUUAAUUCUGUAUUUUACUGUGUAUUUUAGAUCAAUAAAAGUUUUUUGGCUACUUUAUUGUACCAAUCCUCUUUUUAUUGCACUCUUUAUGCACUUUAAACAACUUUUUUUACCUAUUCCUGGCAUUUUAACCUUUCCUGGUUACUUUUACUUCCACUGGCAAUUUUAAAGUUCCAGUACUCCAAGAAAUCCUAGGUGGGGAUCAUACCACCGGCGCCUAUCCAUAGAGCAGUACCUCUGCUCUAUCUUUGUGAGUAUUAUUUUAUUUUCUCUACUACUCUCUUAACCUAUCACAAUUGAGAGCACUAUUGCUGCUUUUUAUUCUUCUAUAUUGGAGCCUUGGAUCACCAGACGGUGCUGACGGACGUAUCGCCGCUACAUAUCCUAUAAGCGGGGAUUAUACCGCUGUACGCUAUCCACACCAGAGCUGGCCAUAGCUCCCUCAAAUGUGAGUUUUUUACCUCUUCUUAUCUGCACAUUGAACCACAUCAAAAUUGAGAGCACUAUUGUUGCUUUCUGUCUUUCUUUUCCGAGUUCUGGACUACCAGACGGUGUUGACGGAGACCUCCUCCCUACAUAUCCCAUAAGCGGGGAUUAUACUUAUAUAUAUAUGAGUUCUUUACUUUUUGUUACCUAUCACACCCUGAACUUUCAUACUAUACCAUUAGUCGCCUCUACCUCUCUCUUGUAUUUACAUAUAUACGGAACGGUCUACACUAGACGCAUCCACAGAGGAACUCUAUCAAGUAUCCUAGACCAUCUAUUGGCACCCUAGCAAUACUUUACUGGACUAUCUACCCUUAUUUGGCGCAGCCCUUCCAUAUCUUUUUUUCACAAGUUAUUGGCUAGUUGGCUAACAUAGCCCUGUGCCCAAUCAUGUUCUGGUAAAAAAAAUCUCAAAGAUCUAAGAUGUUGAUUCCCACGUAGAAAAUAAACAAAAAAAUACAAAUAAAUUAAAAGUAUGAAAAAAAAUUCAAUAUUAUAAAGGACAUACACUUAUAGAGCAAUUAAUGAUGUACAAACUUGCAUGUGAGGUGAUCACCAUUAAAUGAAGUAUGUAAAAAGUGCAUAUUUGAUUCCUCUGCAGAUUUUAAGGGGUUACUCCAAGUGCCGUGACCACUUCAGUGAUUUGAAGUGGUCAAGGUGCCUGGAGUCUACUUGUAUGUGCAGAGUUUCACUAUGAAACACUGCACAUGUCCAGUUUAACCCCUUGGUUGCCGGAGGUGUAACUCCACUUCUGACAGCAUCAUUAGCCAGUCUGCGUUUUACCCUGCUCACACCAAAAUACAACACUAAAUAGCAUUAGAAGCCCACUAUUGUUAUGACGACAUGGAACACCCUAACAUCAUUAAGAGGUUAAAUAAAUUAGAAUAAUUAUUUUCAUAUUCUUUAUGAGAUGGCAGAUGCCUCCCUCUGUAGGCUGAUAAAAGCAGGUAAAUCUGUUUGUUUAUUUGUUUGUACGUUUGUUUUAUCUUUACUACCUUCUUCUUUAUCUUGCUUUCCAUAGUUACUUCGGGGGGAGACUGAUCUAUCCAAUCAAUGUCCUUUUUCUAGGAAUGCUGGAGAAGAGCAUUGCGCAUGCCGACAUAUUUACACGUGUGCAGUUGGAAGAUCUCUUCACCUUAAGAAGAGAGGGAGUGUUAUCAGUGUGAUCAUGCUUCUCAUAGAGAAGCCUUUUACUGGACUGUGACAGAACAUUGGUACGCCGUCACUUGGGUAUCAAAGGCUCCUUUGUUUGGGUGGGCUCUGGCGGGGAGCGGCCAUUUAGACCGCACAGACUUAGACCUAGCCACAACAUGGAGAGACAAGAUGGCGGUGAACCAGAGACUGUGUCACCACAUGGGUGGGGUUUGUGACUUUUGCCUUUGUGACUCAGGGAGCUGAGGCACCUAUUGUUGACUGUAUGUUAGUCCCUUUACCUAAUGCAUAAUGUGUUUUCAUGUGUAUGCAAAGUAGGUGUUCUGUGAUGGUGUGUCCUAUUGGUUAUUAAUG
rnacentral:lncRNA from 1 species